GGGGGCGUGUGGUUUCGACAGGGGGCAGGCCUACAGAACUGCAAGUCGAGGCGCCAUCUACCUCGUUAAAAAGGUGGCAAAAGACAACUGCCGAAGCAGUUCCGAUUGCAGCCUAACUAAAGGUUGCACAUCCAGCCUGACCUCACCCCGAUGGGUUGGGAUUGGGUGACGAACAGUCGGGGUGCUCCAACCCUGAUGUCGAUGAAGGGUUGGCUAAGAACUGAUCGACUGGCCUAGCUAAACUUGGCCGGCAGAGGUUAGCUGGGUGAGAUUAAAGCGCUGGCUAAACUUGUAGCAGGUUCUGGCAACCUUCUUCUGGACGGGGAGUUCAACCCUCCCCCGCCUCCACCA
rnacentral:tmRNA from 1 species